GAAGGAAUUAAGGGAUACUGGGAAGGAAUCUUCCCUAGGUGAUACAGAUCAUACCUUAUAGCGCCGCCCAGUUUGCCUAUGAAACAUACAAGGGGAUGGUGAAACUAUCUUCUAAAAGAAGUAUAGCAUCAUAUGAAAUUUGCAUUUAUAUGACAAAUUGCUGUUUCAUUUUCCAGAAACUUUUUCAACUAAAUGACGGCGAUCUUUCUGUAACUGGAAGAUUUGCAGCAGGUGCUUGUGCUGGCAUGACUUCAACUUUUGUUACAUAUCCUCUAGAUGUCCUUAGGUUAAGGUUGGCUGUUGAACCUGGAUAUAAAACAAUGUCAAAGGUGGCCUUGAACAUGUUGAGAGAGGAAGGAGUAGCAUCCUUUUAUAAUGGCUGAAGAAGGCUCUGCCUGAGAAAUGUCAAAAUAUGACAGAAACAUCCAUGGCAACAGCCUUGAUCUCAGCCACAAUAGCCACACACGCAUGCUAUCUUCUAGACACAGGGGACAAAUGCAAAUGAAGGGUACUCCUUACAAGACAAUUUUGGAUGCCAUUUCAGAUCAGCUCAAAAAGCAGUCAGAGAUUAUGAUACUGGUAUGGUGUCUUGUGAUGGCUGGCUAGGAUUUUAUUGGGGUUUUGUGCCGAACGCAUUAACAACUCAACCAAACAGCAGUGGUGGCGAAAGAGCUGGAGCGGCUUAUGGCUCGACUCGAAAAAUUAGAUUAUACCCGAGUCCGGGGGCAGCCUACAAGCCGCAUGAGCACAAAUACGGGCAGCCUGUAUGUGGACUCGAAUGGGCCAUCUUGCAUAAUUAAAUUUUUUUUUUUUAAGUUCAUAAAUUUAUGAUCUUUGUGAAAUUCAACAACUUCCAUAAUUAAUUUUGUAGUUUGUAAAUUAAUUAUUAGUUUUUCCUA